rnacentral:ncRNA from 2 species
UCGGCGGGCCCUCGUGAUUUGGAUCGGCCGGCUUGCGACGAGGUUAAACAGACGCGCUAAAGAGGCCUGACUUCCGCCAGA